GCCGCAGACCGCCUUAUCGUCGUUCCGAUUGAUCGGAAGGGAGGAAAGUCCGGACACCACAGAGAAGCAUAGCGGGUAACACCCGUCGGUCUCGUCUCGUUUUUUGGAACGAGACGGGGCAAGGACAAGUGCAACAGAAAGUAUGUACAGGUAAUGCUGUAGUGAAACCAGGUAAACUCUAUGCGGUGAAAUACCAAGUAUAUCAGCAUUUAAGGGCUUCUCGUCCGUUGUUGAAGGGUAGGUAGCUUGAGUUCCGAAGUAAUUCGGAAUCUAGAUAAAUGAUAAGGUAUUGUUUCGUCCUUAAAAAAUGAGACAAGAACAGAAUCCGGCUUACAGGUCUGCAUUUUUU
rnacentral:RNase_P_RNA from 1 species